CUUGGUCAUUUAGAGGAAGUAAAAGUCGUAACAAGGUUUCCGUAGGUGAACCUGCGGAAGGAUCACUACCGAGUCAUGGGACCCCUCUCUUGGGUUCCUACUCCCACCCAAUGUUUACUUGAAGAAUUGUUGCCUCGGCGAAUCGGCCAUGGCCGCCGGCCUUUCAGGGGUUGGAUAGCAUUCGCCAGAGGAACUUGAAAAAAGUCUCUAAAACCGUAUCAUCUGAAAAAAAAGAAAAUAAAUUAAAACUUUCAACAACGGAUCUCUUGGUUCUGGCAUCGAUGAAGAACGCAGCGAAAUGCGAUAAGUAAUGUGAAUUGCAGAAUUCAGUGAAUCAUCGAAUCUUUGAACGCACAUUGCGCCCUUUGGUAUUCCGAAGGGCAUGCCUGUCCGAGCGUCAUUUCAAACCAUCAAGCCCAAAGCUUGGUUUUGGACACAGUCUUCUUUUGGACUCGUCCGCAACUCCUAGGCGACACCUUUAGAAUUUUCGAGCGUAGCAAAAAUCUUGCUCGCUUUUUAGUUUUAGAGGCUGUCUUCGCAGAAAUAAGAACAAAACUGAAAUUUUGACCUCGGAUCAGGUAGGGAUACCCGCUGAACUUAAGCAUAUCAAUAAGCGGAGGAAAAGAAACCAACGGGGAUUGCCUCAGUAACGGCGAGUGAAGCGGCAAAAGCUCAAAUUUGAAAUCUGGCUCACGCCCGAGUUGUAAUUUGCAGAGGAUGUCUCGAAGUCGUUGCCGGUCUAAGUUCCUUGGAACAGGACGUCGCAGAGGGUGAGAAUCCCGUACGCGACCGAUCGACGGUCUUCAUGUGGGACUCCUUCGACGAGUCGAGUUGUUUGGGAAUGCAGCUCUAAAUUGGAGGUAAAUUUCUUCUAAGGCUAAAUACCUGCCAGAGACCGAUAGCGCACAAGUAGAGUGAUCGAAAGAUGAAAAGCACUUUGAAAAGAGAGUUAAAAAGUACGUGAAAUUGUUGAAAGGGAAGCGUCUGCGGUCAGACUCGUGAUCGAUUGCUCAGCUGGGCUUUGCCCAGUGCACUCUUUCGAUUUCGGGCCAGCAUCGAUUCGAACGAUCGGAUAAAGGACAUGGGAACGUGGCUCCUCGGAGUGUUAUAGCCCUAGUCACAAUGCGACCAGUUCGGAUCGAGGGAAGCGAUUCUUGGAUGCUGGCGUAAUGACCGUAGACGGCCCGUCUUGAAACACGGACC
rnacentral:rRNA from 1 species